rnacentral:rRNA from 1 species
CCUACGGGAGACAGCAGUGGGGAAUAUUGGACAAUGGGGGCAACCCUGAUCCAGCCAUGCCGCGUGUGUGAAGAAGGCCCUCGGGUUGUAAAGCACUUUCAGUGAGGAAGAACGCCUGGUGGUUAAUACCCAUCAGGAAAGACAUCACUCACAGAAGAAGCACCGGCUAACUCCGUGCCAGCAGCCGCGGUAAUACGGAGGGUGCGAGCGUUAAUCGGAAUUACUGGGCGUAAAGCGCGCGUAGGUGGCUUGAUAAGCCGGUUGUGAAAGCCCCGGGCUCAACCUGGGAACGGCAUCCGGAACUGUCAAGCUAGAGUGCAGGAGAGGAAGGUAGAAUUCCCGGUGUAGCGGUGAAAUGCGUAGAGAUCGGGAGGAAUACCAGUGGCGAAGGCGGCCUUCUGGACUGACACUGACACUGAGGUGCGAAAGCGUGGGUAGCAAACAGGAUUAGAUACCCCAGUAGUC